rnacentral:rRNA from 1 species
GACGAACGCUAGCGGCAGGCCUAAUACAUGCAAGUCGAGGGAGAAUGUUGGAUUCGUCUGACAUGAAACCGGCGCACGGGUGCGUAACACGUAUGCAACCUACCUUUAACUGGGGUAUAGCUCAGAGAAAUCUGAAUUAAUCCCCCAUAAGACUACGACAUGGCAUCAUGAUGUAGUUAAAGCUCCGGCGGUUAAGGAUGGGCAUGCGGUACAUUAGCUAGUUGGUGAGGUAAUGGCUCACCAAGGCUACGAUGUAUAGGGGGUCUGAGAGGAUGAUCCCCCACACUGGUACUGAGACACGGACCAGACUCCUACGGGAGGCAGCUGUAGGGAAUAUUGGUCAAUGGACGCAAGUCUGAACCAGCCAUGCCGCGUGAAGGAUGAAGGCCCUAUGGGUCGUAAACUUCUUUUAUUAGGGAAGAAAAAACGGGAUGCGUCCUGUACUGACGGUACUUAAUGAAUAAGGAUCGGCUAACUUCGUGCCAGCCGCCGCCGUAA